UACGUAGGGGGCAAGCGUUGUCCGGAAUCAUUGGGCGUAAAGAGCGUGUAGGCGGCUCGAUAAGUCUGCUGUGAAAGUCCAGGGCUCAACCCUGGAAGGCCGGUGGAAACUGUCGGGCUAGAGUCCGGAAGAGGCGAGUGGAAAUUCCCGGUGUAGCGGUGAAAUGCGCAGAUAUCGGGAGGAACACCAAUGGCGAAGGCAGCUCGCUGGGACGGUACUGACGCUGAGACGCGAAAGCGUGGGGAGCAAACAGG
rnacentral:rRNA from 1 species